rnacentral:lncRNA from 12 species
CGGAGUCUGACCUCUUACACGGGAGAAGCUGUGUUUGGUAUCUCAUGUGUUGGCAGUGCUCCUUACAAAGUGGAGUGCAGUCCCACCCACUUUCUCAACAGCAGAAGAGAAUGAGGAAGAGGCUGGCUGGGCAAGGGGACCCUCCUCCCAAAAUGGUCCCAAGAGACAGCUCCGAGGGCACGUGGAAGGUGCUGCUACCCUCUGGCUGGGUGUAGCAUCACACGCGGCUGAACCAAGUUGGCACCCCCUCACUUCCAUGGGGGGCCUCCCUGCCUCUCAACCACCCUGAAGUCCCAGGAUUGCAGCUUUUCUGAAGCCCCCGAGAGGAAAGCAUCUUGGAGCACUGCAGACACCACACUGAAAAUAGUGAAAAACAUUCAAUUUGGAAACAAUUUUACCUCGAUUUAUCUUUUUUUUUUUUUCUCUCCCCCUUUGUGUGUCAGCCCACGGCUUCUGUCCUUCCUCUUACCUGAAGGUGGUCCUCUUGUGACUCCUCCUGGGGUCACGGUGGUGGCAGGAAUGGUGCUGUAUCGUCGAAGUGUGGCCAGGGGCUGGGGGAGGCCGAGAAGAAAGGACCCCCUCCCCCCCAAUCUUCCUUCCAGACCGGAGGAAGUGUGGCCAGAGAGGCAGACAGCACAGGCUGCAUCCGACAACCAGCGGUGUUAUCACUACAACACACACAUUGUUCUCCAGGAGGUAACUGUGGCUCUUUAAAACAGCGACAAUAUGAAUGUCGUGUCCUAUUACCCCAUCCUCCGGGCUAAUAAUAAGAUUUUGUAACCAUGUCAACAGCAAGAGAAAGGGAGCUAGAAAGUAUCCCUUUGAUUACAUAAAACGCCCAGGUAUCUAGGACAGCCUUGUAAACGGCUCGGCUCGCGGCACGUCGUUCUGCUGGAGACACUGGUCUAUGAUGGCAGGCCUCGAACCUUCGGCCAAGCCUAGGGCAGGUGGCCACUCACGGUGAGGAAAGUAGUACAUGCCUACUGUGCACCCACAGCCGCGCUCCGACAGGAGGCAAGCAGGAUAAACAGGGGUUAAAUGUUCAAAUACAUUUUCUGCUCAUGGAGGAAGGCUAACAAGUGAGUCAGAGAUAAGCCACUUCCAAGUGUGCACUGUAGACACACUGGAUUUAGUCGGGCGACAGAAGCCUGGACUCUCCCUCAACCCGGGCCUCUCUGAGCCUCAGAUUCCUCGACUGUAAUAUAUGGGUGAUAACACUUAGUCCUAUGUGCCCCACAAGCUUGUGGGGAUGGAAGGAAAAAAUGCUGUGGUUUCCAAAUCAAUAGUGUAAUCCUCUUUAAAAAGAAAAGUUGUAUGUGCAACUUUAAGAUAAAACAGAGAUGAUAGCUGAGCUGCUGUUUUUGGAGGGGUGGGGUGGGCGUAGGGCUCAACCACCUACUCAGCUUUUUCUUGCCCCCAGACUGACCUCUGUGGCUCCCGUGAAUGCGCUCACUAUUCUGAGAAGUGUGACUCUGAGACCAAGGAGAAAAUGCUCUGAAAUUGUGUGUUAUUAUUUGUAUUAAUCAUCCAAACUGGCCAUUAAUGGAGGUAAUUGUAGGAAUUGAGAGAUCAAUGUGGACUUAAGUAUUAAAUAGCAGGAGGGCAUGCACUGGUCCUUUAAGGCUGGUGAGUGGCU